CCAGUGUGGGACCCAAGGACGGGAUGCCGAAGACCACACGACCAGGAUGGAGACUGCCUCUAGCCACCCCCCACCAGAAGACUUUGCCAAGCCCUGGUAAGGAGGGCUUUGUAGAAUGGCAGGCUCCCCAAAUAAAAACAAACACGAGGUUCUGUGCGUGCUGGAGCUGGCUAGUCAUGCUUCAGUGGUGAUGGAGUGUCAGAGUUGCAAAAAUAAAAGCAGGAGUGCUUACGGCAUUGCUUUUUAUACCCACUGCCCUCGGAGUGAUGUUUCCAUCAAGAAAAAGGAUGCUUAUGAAAGAGAGCCCUAACUGCAAUCCUACCCACUUAAGACUGGUCGAUUUUUAAGAAACACGUAAGAAUGAGUUAGAUAUGAACAAUCGACAGCACAAACAAAUGAACAGAAUUUGAUGAGAACGUCUGGCCUGCCAUCAACAUAUGCAGAAUUCUCAAAGAUUUGAAGCUGGAAACAAGACAUAUGGCCCUUAUUUGAAUUCACUGAGGACUAUGGGAAGACUCCCCACCCCAACCCAGCUGUAUUUUACAAUCAACUUCUGAAAAAGCCAGAAAAAUCCUUCAGAAAUAUAGUUUGAGUUGUGGCUCAUGACCCCAUUUGGCUAGCUCUUGGCAUUAAAGAAUAUGUUUCAAAGUUGUCAAAGCA